ensembl:lncRNA
UGAUUAUCUCUCGGUGUUGCUGGUGGCCGGGUGUCUGUUAAGUCCAACUGAUAAAGGAUUUAGCUAAUGGGUUUUGAGUACCUUGCUGCGGCCCAGAGCACAAAGAGAUUUGCAUAGGGCUCCUCUCGAGUUGGCAUUGGCAGAAUGAACGUUGCCCAGAGCUGGCCCUUCCAUGAAGGGCAAGUGAAGUGGCCAUCUCACUUGGCUGAUCCGUAGCACCAAUUGUUGCUUAUUCAAUUUGUGCUUAUUAUAUUUUUACUGCCAAAAUAGAGAGCAAAUGCUUUCAGGCAUUUUCUGCCUAGAGUGAUAAAAUAACUUGGUUGGCAUGGCUACUAUGCACCCAGAUUUGGAUGAUGGUGAGGAAUUCAUUUUUCAGUGCCAGAGAAAAGUAAAAUGAGGAAAAUGUCAUUAGGCAGUUUUCUUCUUCAGGUGCUCAGAAAACUUGGUUGACAUGGUUACUCUAUACCUGAUUUGAAGGAUGGGGAGAAACAGUUUCCAACACUGCCUCAGGCAUCAAACUGUUUUGGAAAGACCCUGUAAUUUAGAUAACUUAAGAAGAAAUGGAAAAAGGAUGUGGUGACCAUAUUGGAAUUGUUCUUCGUGUUAGCAUUACCCAAUGCUUUCAGAAACAGAACAUAUAGAAUUGAUUAUAUCAAUGCAUGUAAUAAAGUGGGAAGAGGGCUGCAGAGCUCUGAGAUUAUCAUGGAUUUUAUCAAUAUUGUCAUUGUUUACACCCAGCCUUUCUCCCUAAUUGAGACUCAGAAGAGUUUGCAAAUUAAAAUGACAGUUCAAAACAUGCAGAAAGUCAACCUUAAAAUAGAAUCAAACAAUUAACCAUGUUAAAGCAAUGUAGAGGAAGGUGACCACAAUGGCAAAGGGUCUGGAAACCAUGCACUAUGAGGAGCAGCGUAUGGAGCUGGGUGUGUUGAACCUGGAGAUGAGAAGGUUAGGAGAGGACAUGGUAGUGGUAUUUAAAUAUUCGAAAGGAUUUCAUGUUGAGGAGGAAACCAAUUUGUGAGGUAGAUAAAGUUGAGAGGCAGUAACUCCAAAGUUUACCUAGUAGGUUUCCUGUUGUUGGUGUUGGUGUUGUUUUUGUUUUUGUUGUUUCAAAGGCUGGAUGGGCAUUCAUUGGAUGUGCUUUAACUGUGCUUUUCCUGCCUGACAGAAGGGGGUUGGACUGGAUGGCCCCUGGGGUCUUUCAGUGAAAUAGUACUGUUAAUAUUAUAUUGGUUAAAAUUCCCCAAAAAAUCAGUGGAUGUGCAAAUCUUUAUGAAAUUUGGGGAAGAUGAUGCCCUGGUUAUUGUUGUAUCAUUGAAAAUAAAAAUUGAAUGAGAUAGCUCUUGUAGUUUUUUUUUUAAAGUUGUUCAUAAAAACUUUUUAAAUCCUUAAAAAUCAGUGAAUGAGUGAAAUGUUCUGAAACUUGGGGUGGUGGGUAACAGUGGUAAAUGUAUUCUACCAUUGUAGCAAGUUUUAUCCAGAUAGCUCUAAAAAUGAGGGAGAAAGAAGCCCUUGAAUCUCUCCCCCCCCCCUGCCAUGCAUAAUUACAUAACGAAAAAAGUAAUGAAAAUUUGUUAGUUCAUUAUAGUUACAAUAUAGUCCCCUAAUGAUAUUUUGGAAACACUUUAGAAACAAUUAGCUAACCCCCCACCCCCACCCAAUUUAGUAAUGAGUACUGAAACAUUUUUUUCAUUGAUCGCACAGGCCUACUAAAUACCUUGUAAAACUACAACACACAUGAUUCCAUAGCAUUGAGCGGUGGAGGUUCAGAUGGCAUCAAAUUGCAUUAAUUCAAAUUGCAACACAGAACAAUGGAUUCAAAUGGCAGAAAAAGAGAUUGCACCUAAACAUUAGGAAGAACUUCUGAAUAAUAAUUGCAAUGGAGUGUGCUGCCUCAGAGUUCAGUGGAGUCUCCUUUUUUAGCCAUUUGUUGGGAAUGCUUUAAGGGGGUUGAAUUGGACUGCUCUUGUGGUGUUCUCCAACUUUUAAGGUUAUCAUCUAUACUCCAUCCUUCAACCAGAAAAUCUCCCAGGGUGUCAUAAAUUGUUAAUUUGACAAUUUUAUUUCCUUAAUUAGAAACUUGUCUAUUUUAGUGGCAAGUACUGCAACCCAAUCAACAAAUUGUGCAAAUUAUAAAAGUUAUAAUAGUACCUACACUUGAACAGCACCAGCCUUUAUUUAUGGGAGUGGAGGGUGCCUUUUCCAUAAGACACACUUAGGGACUACAGCCAACACACUGGUGUAUCCCAGCACACUGUUUGGAAGGCUCUGUGCUAGAUUUUGCUUGGAAGGAACCUUUGCUUUACAUCAUAGCAUUGUCAAAAUGAAAAAAGAAAAUACUAGUUGUUUCCCCGGAACAUUGGUGGGCUACACCACGCAUUCAUACCCAGUCCAACUAUGAUUUGGGGAAUUGUAAACCAAAUAAGAAAUUUUUCCAACAUCAUCAGCCUCCCUGGUUUUCAAAAAAUUCCAUUCAAAGCUUCUAUCUGUUUACAGAACUCUGGGGGAAAUUGUUUAGUUCACAUUUUUAACAUGAGCUAAUGAAUUCCCACUGCCAUAACCUAUAGACAACCCAGAAAAACAAUUGUCUUUCAGUUUUUGCUUUUCUCCAAAUCUGAUCAAAAUGCAUAUAAGCAUAGAUAUUGGAAAACAGCAUCCAAAAAUCUGAACAUUGGGGAAAACAACAUCUAAAAAGGUACAUGUUAGCUGAAAAUCC